rnacentral:rRNA from 1 species
UACGUAGGGACCGAGCGUUGUCCGGAAUCAUUGGGCGUAAAGAGCGUGUAGGCGGCCCCUUAAGUCCUGCGUGAAAUCCUGCGGCUCAACCGCAGACGGUCGUGGGAAACUGGAGGGCUAGAGUGCGGGAGAGGAGAGUGGAAUUCCUGGUGUAGCGGUGAAAUGCGCAGAUAUCAGGAAGAACACCCGUGGCGAAGGCGGCUCUCUGGGACGGUACUGACGCUGAGACGCGAAAGCGUGGGAGCGAACAGG